CUUCCAUUUAUGAUAAGUAU
rnacentral:miRNA from 1 species